rnacentral:rRNA from 1 species
UACGGAGGGUCCAAGCGUUAUCCGGAUUUAUUGGGUUUAAAGGGUCCGUAGGCGGGCUUAUAAGUCAGAGGUGAAAUCCCAUCGCUCAACGAUGGAACUGCCUUUGAUACUGUAGGUCUUGAAUGUAUUUGAAGUAGGCGGAAUAUGUAGUGUAGCGGUGAAAUGCAUAGAUAUUACAUAGAACACCAAUUGCGAAGGCAGCUUACUAAGAUAUAAUUGACGCUGAUGGACGAAAGCGUGGGUAGCGAACGGG